rnacentral:rRNA from 1 species
AUAUCAAUAAGCGGAGGAAAAGAAACCAACAGGGAUUGCCUCAGUAACGGCGAGUGAAGCGGCAACAGCUCAAAUUUGAAAUCUGGGUCUUUCAGGCUCCGAGUUGUAAUUUGUAGAAGAUGCUUCGGGUGUGGCUCCGGUCUAAGUUCCUUGGAACAGGACGUCAUAGAGGGUGAGAAUCCCGUACGUGACUGGUUGCCUUCGCCCAUGUGAAGCUCUUUCGACGAGUCGAGUUGUUUGGGAAUGCAGCUCAAAAUGGGUGGUAAAUUUCAUCUAAAGCUAAAUAUUGGCCAGAGACCGAUAGCGCACAAGUAGAGUGAUCGAAAGAUGAAAAGCACUUUGGAAAGAGAGUUAAACAGUACGUGAAAUUGUUGAAAGGGAAGCGCUUGCAACCAGACUUGCACGCUGCUGAUCAUCCGGGGUUCUCCCCGGUGCACUCGGUUGCGUUCAGGCCAGCAUCGGUUUGGGUGGUUGGAUAAAGGCCUUGGGAAUGUAGCUUCUUUCGGGGAGUGUUAUAGCCCUCGGUGCAAUGCAGCCUACCCGGACCGAGGACCGCGCUUCGGCUAGGAUGCUGGCGUAAUGGUUGUAAGCGA